rnacentral:rRNA from 1 species
CUACGGGUCGCUGCAGUGGGGAAUCUUAGACAAUGGGCGCAAGCCUGAUCUAGCCAUGCCGCGUGAGCGAUGAAGGCCUUAGGGUUGUAAAGCUCUUUCAGCGAGGAAGAUAAUGACUGUACUCGCAGAAGAAGCCCCGGCUAACUCCGUGCCAGCAGCCGCGGUAAUACGGAGGGGGCUAGCGUUGUUCGGAAUUACUGGGCGUAAAGCGCACGUAGGCGGAUCAGAAAGUCAGAGGUGAAAUCCCAGGGCUCAACCUUGGAACUGCCUUUGAAACUCCUGAUCUUGAGUUCGAGAGAGGUGAGUGGAAUUCCGAGUGUAGAGGUGAAAUUCGUAGAUAUUCGGAGGAACACCAGUGGCGAAGGCGGCUCACUGGCUCGAUACUGACGCUGAGGUGCGAAAGCGUGGGGAGCAAACAGGAUUAGAUACCCGCGUAGUC